rnacentral:rRNA from 1 species
AGAUUAGCUUGCUUUAUCUGUCAGCUAAGUGGCGCACGGGUGAGUAAUGUAUAGGUAAUAUGCCUCUUACUAAGGGAUAACAAUUGGAAACGAUUGCUAAUACCUUAUAUUCCUUUUUAUCAAAAGAUAAAAAGGGAAAGAUUUAUUGGUAAGAGAUUAGCCUGUAUUGUAUCAGUUAGUUGGUGGGGUAAUGGCCUACCAAGACGAUGACGCAUAACUGGUUUGAGAGGAUGAUCAGUCACACUGGAACUGAGACACGGUCCAGACUCCUACGGGAGGCAGCAGUGGGGAAUAUUGCACAAUGGACGAAAGUCUGAUGCAGCAACGCCGCGUGGAGGAUGACACAUUUCGGUGCGUAAACUCCUUUUAUAUAAGAAGAUAAUGACGGUAUUAUAUGAAUAAGCACCGGCUAACUCCGUGCCAGCAGCCGCGGUAAUACGGAGGGUGCAAGCGUUACUCGGAAUCACUGGGCGUAAAGAGCGUGUAGGCGGAUUGAUAAGUUUGAAGUGAAAUCCUAUAGCUUAACUAUAGAACUGCUUUGAAAACUGUUAAUCUAGAAUGUGGGAGAGGUA